rnacentral:lncRNA from 1 species
GUGGAAACAAUCCAAGUGUCCAUCAACAGAUGAAUAGAUUGACAAAAUGUGGUACAUGCACACAAUAAAAUAUUAUUCAGUCAUAAAAAGGAAUGAAGUUCUGACAUAUGCUACCAUACGGAUGAACCUUGGAAACACUGUGCCAAGUAAAAUAAGCCAGACACGAAAGGGUAAAUAUUGCAUGACUCCACUUAUACAAAAUAUCUAGAAUAGGCAAAUUCAUAGAAAAGAGGUUACUGGCUGGGCAUGGUGGCUCAUGCAUGUAAUCCCGACACUUUGGGAGGCUGAAGCGGGUGGAUCACCAGAGGUCAGGAGUUCAAGACCAGCCUGGCCAACAUGGCGAAACCCCAUCUCUACUAAAAAUACAAAAAUUAGCUGGGCAUGGUGGUGGGUGCUUGUAGUCCCAACUAUUUGGGAGGCUGAGACAGAAGAAUUGCUUGAAUCCGGGAGGCAGAGGUUGCAGUGAGCCGAGAUCAUGCCAUUGCACUCAAGACUCGGCAACAAGCGAGAAUCCAUCUCAAAAAAAAAAAAAAUAAGUAAAGAGGUUACUAGAUGCUGGGCUUAGUGGGUGGCGUAUGAGGAGCUAUUGCUUAAUAGUAAUAGAGUUUCUGUUUGUGGUUAUGAAAAAGUUUGGAAAUAGAGAUAACGGUUGCACAGUAUUGUUAAUGUAAUCAGUGCCACUGAAUUGUAUACUUUUAAUGGUUAAAAUGACAAAUGUUUGGUGUAUAUAGCUUACCACAAUUAAAACAUACAUAUACCACACAAAUUUAUUAUUUCACAGUUUCUGUAGGUUAGAAGUCCAAGGUUGGCCUAGCUAAUUUGUCAGUGUCUUACAUGGCUGAAGUCAAGGUGUCAGAAGGAGUUGCUAUCUCAUCUGAUGCAUGGGAUCCUUUUCCAAGCUCACUCAGGUUGUUAGCAGAAGUUAGUCCCCUGUAGUUCUAGGACUGUGGUCUCCAUUUUCUUGCUGGCUAAUGACUUGGUUGGUUGUCAGCUCCUAGAUUUUUCUCCCUAUUCUGGAGUUCAGGUAUGUUACCCAGCUGGGUCUAACGAUGUGUCUUCGUCCAUUUUGUGUUGUUAUUGCAUAAUACCACAACCAUCCACCGCCAUGUUGUUCUCUCCAAAGCACAGUGGUUUUGUCAGAGGCGUUUGAACAAGAGCAACUCCAUCUUAAAUAGGAGCUGGGUGAAAUAAGGCUGAAACCAACUGCUGCAUUCCCAGAUGGUUAAGGCAUUCUAAGUCACAGGAUGAGAUAGGAGGUCAGCACAAGAUACAGGGUCAUAAAGACCCUGCUGAUAGAACAGGUUACAGUAAAAAAGGUGGUCCAAACCCACCAAAACCAAGAUGAUGAUGAAAGUGACCUCUGGAUGUCCUCACUGCUACACUCCCACCAGCGCCAUGACAGUUUACAGAUGCCACGGCAAUGCCAGGAAGUUACCCUAUAUGGCCUAGAAAGGGGAGGCAUAAAUAACCCACCCCUUGUUUAGCACAUCAUCAAGAAAUAACCAUAAAAACGGGCAACCAGCAGCCCUGGGGACUGCUGUGUCUGUGGAGUAGCCAUUCUUUUAUUCCUUUACUUUCUUAAUAAACUUGCUUUUGCUUUGUGCUGUGGACUCGCCCUGAAUUCUUUCUUGCAUGAGAUCCAAGAACCCUCUCUUGGGGUCUGGAUCGGGACCCUUUCCUGUAACAUCUUUCUGGUGGCCACUGAAGGGACUAAAGUGAGGAAACCCCCAACUCAAAGGUUAACUUUGCAUAAGUGUUGGGGUCCUGUAACAUCUUUCUGGUGACCACGGAAGCGACUAUAGUGAGGAAACCCCUGACCCAAAGGCUAACUUUGGGUAAGUGGUGGGAUCCAGUAACAUCUUUCUGGUGAACCACAGAAGGGAUGAUACUGAGGAGAACCCCCCAACCCAAAGGAAAUAGACUUCAGCACUGAUUGGAUGACUUUGGGUAAGUGGGGUACAUAAACCCAGGUAAAGGAUGGGAUUGGGUUAGAGGCCCAACUUAGGGGAGUUAGCAUCUCUCCUAAGACAAAGUGGGUCAGAGGCCCCUCUUAAUAAAAAACAAAGAUGCUUGACUGACCUUGGGUUAGAGGCCCAACUUAGGAGGGUUAGAGUCCCUUCUAAGAUGUAGGGAGUUAGUGGUCCUCUCAGUAAAGUUCCUCUCGGUAAAGUCCCUUUCAGCUAAAAAUGGGUUUGGCACUCCGGGAUGUUAACUGCUAUUCUCUUUGGAUUAAUCUGUCUUGCACUCUUCGCUGAUGGCUGUGGGUGACAAGAUUAGGCACGUACAGGACUGUGGGACAUGGGGAGCUUUUUCUUCCCUAAAAGGGAAAGCUGAGAGCAGAUGGGACUGCUGGAAAAGAUCCCUUCACUUACUGACAAGCAGCCGCCUGAACUUUUCAGUGUCGCUGCAAUGGGUGGGUCUUUCUCUGGCCUCUCUGAGCACCUCACCUUCCCCACUCUGCCUCAGGCAGUGCUUUCCUCUCUCUCUCUCUCUCUCUCUCUCUCUCUCUCUCUCUCUCUCUGUGCAGACUGGUAAAAAUCAUUGUUUAUCUCCUGUAAAGUUUUAAUUAAUUAGAAAAAGGAUUUGUGAGGCUAGUCUUAAGCUGCAGCGAAUCUGGUGUGCUUUACGUGUUUUUCUGUAUUGUUCCAUCAUAAAGAGGGGUACCUUAUGAUGGAACACAGGCUUAGGACACCCAUAAGCCUGCUUUUCAAGACGGCCCAGCAAACUGGUCAGUUACAAACUUUGCUGCAGAUCCCUGAAAAACCUGGAUGAGGUUUCCUUCUUGUCUUGUAAAUCCUUGGGAGCUUGACCUUGUAACCAUGUGGCCAUGCUUUCUCUUUUCACAAUGGCAGCCUGGGUUCAGGGUUCCAUUCCCAGCUUAGGGGAUGACUCCUUUAUCUUCUGUCUAUAUGUAUAUGUAUUAUGUGUGUGAUGUUUAUACAUGAAAGAACUUUAAUUGGUUUGAAAAUAAUAAGAGCUUAAAUAUUUUAUCAGAAAAAUAAAAAGCAUAAUGUCUUUUAGUUCCUGUGACUUAAGUAAUUUUUGGGAAAUAGAGUUUUAAAGAUUAUUGGUAAAAUAAAAAUAUCUUCAAAAAUGUAAACAUUUAGUCUAAAUUAUGCAGGUCAGAUAUUACAUUUACUAAAUUCUUUAAGAUCAUAAACUGCUUCUUUGACUUUUGAAAAUUGUUCAAUUUACCUACUUUGGAGCAUUAGAUUCUACAUAAGGCCUGGGGACAUGUGGAAUUAGCCAUGCCCCCUAGCUAUGCAAAGAUGGUUAUAAAGAAAAGAGAUUUUAUGUAAGAAAGGAUGUUGUAUGGUAAAUUCUCGUCCUAAAGUAAAAUGACUAGUUGUUUAAAAAAAGGGAAUUUACGCAAGAAAUGUUGUGUAAUUUGAAGGUUGUUAGGCCUCCUAAAUGCCUCGUAAAAUGCCAUUAUGACUCUUAACUGUAUGACUUACCUGCUUUACAGCUAGGUAAGGCCUGGGACACAUUAGAAGUUAGACGCUGGAAAGAGUCAGACCUUAUCUGCACUUCUGUUUGCUGUCCUAGGCUCCAUACUAGUACAUAAUUAAAAUCCCAAACUUACCAAGGUUUUCACCAAAAGUAAAAGUUGCUAAGAGUUAACACUGUAACAUGUAAUUGAGACUACUGAAGAAACAGUUUUACAUGCGAGAGUCAAGGAAACUUUUCAGCUAUUUACAGCUUUUAACAAUUGAGUAAAGCAUACUCCUGUGAACAAAAUUUGGAACAUAUUUGUUUCUCUCUACCUGAUUUCUCCACAAUUUGGAAACUAUGUAUAUCACCUUUUGUUGGACUCAAGAGUUAUGAAUGGCCCUCACCAUACUGAUGCUUUCUGACUGAGCUCCUCACUACCCUGAACACAAGAGGGAGGAAUAUCAUCGCCCCUAUUCAGCCUGGAGAAGUUACAAAAGAUGGAUCUUCGUCCCUCUGCAACCCUUAGGAUUAAUGGUUCUCCUAUAAAAGGGAUGGGGGGAAAAUGUCAGAGGCAUUUGAACAAGAGCAACUCCAUCUUAAAGAGGAGCUGGGUAAAAUAAGGCUGAAACCUACUGGGCUGCAUUCCCAGAUGGUUAAGGCAUUCUAAGUCACAGGAUGAGAUGGGAGGUUGGCACAAAAUACAGGUCAUAAAGACCCUGCUGAUAAAACAGGUUGCAGUAAAGAAGCUGGCCAAAACCCACCAAAACCAAGAUGGCAAUGAGACUGACCUCUGGUCGUCCUCACUGCUACACUCCCAUCAGUGCCAUGACAGUUUACAGAUGCCAUGGCAACAUCAGGAAGUUACCCUAUAUGGCCUAGAAAGGGGAGGCAUGAAUAAUCCACCUCUUGUUUAGCAUAUCAUCAAGAAAUAACCAUAAAAAUGGACAACCAGCAGCCCUGGGGACUGCUGUGCCUGUGGAGUAGCCAUUCUUUUAUUCCUUUACUUUUUUUUUUUUUUUUUUUUUUUGGAGACGAGUCUCGCUCAGUCACCCAGGCUGGAGUGCAGUGGCACUAUCUCGGCUCAUUGCAAGCUCCGCCUCCCAGGUUCACGCCAUUCUCCUGCCUCAGCCUCCCGUGUAGCUGGGACUACAGGUGCCCACCACUACGCCCAGCUAAUUUUCUUGUAUUUUUAGUAGAGACGGGGUUUCACCCUGUUAGCCAGGAUGGUCUCGAUCUCCUGACCUCGUGACCUGCCCAUCUCGGCCUCCCAAAGUGCUGGGAUUACAGGCGUGAGCCACCGCACCUGGCCUAUUCCUUUACUUUCUUAAUAAACUUGCGUUUACUUUGCACUGUGGACUCCGCCUGAAUUCUUUCUUGCAGGAGAUCCAAGAACCCUCUCUUGGGGUCUGGAUCAAAACUCCCUUUCCUGUAACAGUUUGCAGGAGAAUGUCUUCAAGGCCAGCAAGAAAAUACUGCUUCCACUCUGGCUUCCUCUGUCUCUGACAGCUAGACUCAGACUAAAAGGACUCAUAUGAUUAGGUCAGGCCCACUCAGAGAGCCUCCUGUUUGAUUAACACAAAGUCAUCUGAUGAGUAACCUUAAAUAGCUCUGCAAAAUCCCCUUGGCCAUGUAAGUUAACAUAAUUGUGGCAAUAAUAUCCUACCAUAUUCACAGGUUCUGCCCACGCUCAAGGGAAGAGAAGUUUAUAAGGCAUGUAUAUCGGGGGUGGGAAUGUUAGAAUUCUGCCUACCACAGUAAAAAUAGAGGAAAAAAGAAAGAACAUUAAAUUCAAUGGCAUUGUAAGAGAGUAACACAACAUAGUUCCAAGAACACUAGAGCUGUAAG